rnacentral:rRNA from 1 species
GUUAACAAUUUUAUUAAAAUUUUUUUUUAAAUAUUUUUUUAUUAAUAUAGGUUUUGUAUUUUUUAUUAUAGUUAAAUAGUAUUGUAAAAGAAAAAUUUUUAAUUUUUAAAAGAAAUUUUUUUUGUACCUUGUGUAUCAGGGUUGACUAAAUAAUAAAUUUAUUUAUUAUUUCGAAUUAAAAAGAGCUAAAAUUAAGUUUAUUUUAUUGUAUAAAAAAUAUUUAAAAUUUAAUUUUUGAAGUGAAACGUUAUUCGAUUUUUAAUAUAUCUAAUUUUUUUAGAAAUAAAUUUAAUUUAUUUUUGUUUUUAUAUUAAAUUUUUAUUAUUAAAUAUAAAAUAAAUUUUAUAGUUUUAGGGAUAAGCUUAAAAUUAAAUUAUUAUAAAAUAUAUGUUUUAUUUAUAUUUAGUAGGAUUAAAAAUUUUUUUCUUUUUAAGUUUGUUAAAAUUUUUUAUAUUGAUAAAUUUGAUUUAUAUUAUUUUUAAUUUUUUAUAAAAAAUUAAAUUUAAAUUAAAAAAAUCUAGUAAUAAUGGUUAAAUUAGUAUAUUUUUUGUAUUUAUAUUUUUUAUUUUAAAAUUAAGUUAAAUAAUUCGGCAAAUAGGAUUUUCAACUGUUUAUUAAAAACAUUUCUUUUUGUAUAAAAUUUAAAGUAAUACCUGCCCACUGAGUAUUUGAAGGGCCGCAGUAAUUUGACUGUGCAAAGGUAGCAUAAUCAUUAGUUUUUUAAUUGAAAGCUGGAAUGAAGGGUUUCAUGAAAAAUCGACUGUUUCAAUUUAAUAUUUAGAAUUUUAUUUUUAAGUUAAAAAGCUUAAAUUUUUUUAAAAGACGAGAAGACCCUAUAGAGUUUAAUUUAAUAAAAUUUUUAAUUUUAUAGAAUUUUAAUUUUUAAAUUUUUUGUUAAAUUUAGUUGGGGUGACUGAAAAAUUUAAUAAACUUUUUUUAUUAUUUUCAAUUAUUAUUGUUUUUUUGAUCCAUUAUUUAUGAUUAAAAGAUUAAGUUACCUUAGGGAUAACAGCAUAAUUUUUUUAGAAAGUUCAAAUUGAAAAAAAAGAUUGUGACCUCGAUGUUGGAUUAAGAAAAAUUUUUGGUGUAGAAGCUAAAAUUUUUGGUCUGUUCGACCAUUAAAAUCUUACAUGAUCUGAGUUUAGACCGGUGUAAGCCAGGUUGGUUUCUAUCUUUAAAAUUUUAAAAUUAUUUAGUACGAAAGGAUCAGUAAUU